rnacentral:rRNA from 1 species
UACAGAGGGGGCAAGCGUUGUUCGGAAUUACUGGGCGUAAAGGGCGCGUAGGCGGCCUUCUAAGUCGAACGUGAAAUCCCCGGGCUCAACCCGGGAACUGCGUCCGAUACUGGAAGGCUUGAAUCCGGGAGAGGGAUGUGGAAUUCCAGGUGUAGCGGUGAAAUGCGUAGAUAUCUGGAGGAACACCGGUGGCGAAGGCGACAUCCUGGACCGGUAGUUGACGCUGAGGCGCGAAAGCCAGGGGAGCAA